rnacentral:rRNA from 1 species
GACGAACGCUGGCGGCGUGCUUAACACAUGCAAGUCGAACGGAAAGGCCCUGCUUGCAGGGUACUCGAGUGGCGAACGGGUGAGUAACACGUGGGUGAUCUGCCCUGCACUUCGGGAUAAGCCUGGGAAACUGGGUCUAAUACCGGAUAGGAGCCAUUUUUAGUGUGAUGGUUGGAAAGUUUUUUCGGUGUAGGAUGAGCUCGCGGCCUAUCAGCUUGUUGGUGGGGUAAUGGCCUACCAAGGCGGCGACGGGUAGCCGGCCUGAGAGGGUGGACGGCCACAUUGGGACUGAGGUACGGCCCAGACUCCUACGGGAGGCAGCAGUGGGGAAUAUUGCACAAUGGGCGCAAGCCUGAUGCAGCGACGCCGCGUGGGGGAUGACGGCCUUCGGGUUGUAAACUCCUUUCGCUAGGGACGAAGCUUUUUGUGACGGUACCUAGAGAAGAAGCACCGGCUAACUACGUG